AUCCAGAUGACGAGUUCCAAAUAGGACGGAAUGUACAUCCUGGUU
rnacentral:hammerhead_ribozyme from 1 species